rnacentral:rRNA from 1 species
AUACCCGCUGAACUUAAGCAUAUCAAUAAGCGGAGGAAAAGAAACCAACAGGGAUUGCCUCAGUAACGGCGAGUGAAGCGGCAACAGCUCAAAUUUGAAAUCUGGCUCCUUUCAGGUGUCCGAGUUGUAAUUUGUAGAGGAUGCUUCGGCUUACGCCCCGGUCUAAGUUCCUUGGAACAGGACGUCACAGAGGGUGAGAAUCCCGUUUGUGGCCGGCGGCCUCCGCCAUGUGAAGCUCCUUCGACGAGUCGAGUUGUUUGAGAAUGCAGCUCUAAAUGGGAGGUAUAUUUCUUCUAAAGCUAAAUACCGGCCAGAGACCGAUAGCGCACAAGUAGAGUGAUCGAAAGAUGAAAAGCACUUUGGAAAGAGAGUUAAAAAGUACGUGAAAUUGUUGAAAGGGAAGCGCUUGCGACCAGACUUGCCCGCAGAUGCUCAGCCGGUCCUUCGGCCGGUGCACUCUUCUGCGGUCAGGCCAGCAUCAGUUCGGGCGGUCGGAUAAAGGCCUUGGGAAUGUGGCUCCUCUCGGGGAGUGUUAUAGCCCUUGGUGCAAUACGGCCCGCCUGGACUGAGGCCCGCGCUUCGGCUAGGAUGCUGGCGUAAUGGUCGUAAGCGGCCCGUCUUG